rnacentral:piRNA from 1 species
UGGCUAGGCUGUCCUCUCCUCUCUGGCC